GUAAGAUGGAGGUUGGUGAGCGUGUAACCUGCACGAGAUUGAAAUCAUUUUAAGACGUAAUGCUGGCACGUUCUGAAGGAACUUGAUUCUUGUUUUCAAAAAACGAUCUGUGAGCUUGAGGAUUAAAAGCUCAUUCCAAUUUCAAAUGAUUCGUUAUUGCUGGAAAUGGGUACUGACAGUGUUAAAGAUUCUCCUGGAAAAUCAACAGCUGCUGUGUCAAUGCUAGGUAGUGGUAGAGUCAGUCACCUGCAGGUGCAAAUCCACGGCUGCUGAGCUCCGAUACGGAUAUCAUGAGACGGCUGCUGUCGGCUCAUCUUUGGCUGGACAGAGACCUUGAUUCUACCAGAGGAUAUGACUUCACUUUCUUCCAGACCACACACCAAAUAAUGAAGAGAAAAUUUAUCUCUGUGAGUGGAUCUUCCCUGCGAUCAUUUGCCGACCGUGUGUGGACUAAUGAAAGGGAAGACGCUGGACAAUGAGAUAAAAGGAUUAAGCCCUCCUCUUUUAAAGGAAAGUGCUUAUUUUAUACUGUUUGAGAAAUUGGUUACCGAUCGACGUUUUGGUGGUGAUCCUUUUCUGUUGGCUUUCUCUUUUCGGCACUGGACGUGGUUUGGUGUUGGCGUGGGUCUCUCUUCUGCUUCGCGGCGUCGGGCAGCGUUUCGUGGGAAAAGGUGGAGUGCCCUAGACUACGCAUCAGUAAGAAGGAUUCGAAUCAUCGAGUCAACUCAGUCGGACUUUAGAUGGACAAUGCUGUUUGUUACUUUUAUUUGCGCGGCUCUGGUGGCCUUACUGCUAAUAUUCAACCAAGGAAACAUCAGUUACAGGUAUGACUCGCUCUCCUCGUCACAUCACGAUACUCCUGUAACUUUAAAAUCAACAAACUGGACAAGUGGUGUAUACACAAACUUUCAUGUUCUCUGGGACUGCCGAUUGAAGUUACUGCUUUCAAAUUUUGUGUAUGAGGACUCCAUAAAAACAAAAAAAGAACCCAGCUCUGUUAAUCAUUUCACUUGUUCAAAUUCAUCUGCUAGAAAUGUAAAUGAAUCCGUAAGGUGACGGAGUUUUAUAAUUCUUAUGUUAUUGUUAUCAGGAAAUGUUUUACCAAAUCCUGGUCCUUAUAAUGAUACUGCUUCAACUUUUAAAGUUCCUGCCAAUUUUGCAUCCAGAUCGGGUCUGGGUUUUAUUCAUAUGAAUGUGAGAAGCCUGCUUCCCAAGUUGGACUUAGUGCGUAUCUGGGCAAAAAUACCAGU